rnacentral:sRNA from 1 species
UGGGUGUGUAUUGGAAAAAGAAAAAGAGACAGAUGGGAUGGAGAGAAUGAGAGUGUGUAUGUGUUCGUGUCAGUACUGUGGUAGGUGCAUGAGAUUGAAUGGUGACAGGUUCGGCUUCUAUAGAUACCGAGGCUGGAUUAAUGAGAGUAGUAACGUGUAGGCCUAUAUAUAAAGUGUAGGCCUAUAUAUAACGUGUAGUAUAGAAGGAAUUCACUGUUGACUGAGGAGAACUUGAGAACUAAUACACUCGAAUCAUGUUCUUUAAACCAUUUUCAUUUUUGGUCGCUCUCUUGCCAUUUGCGUGCUCAUUCUAUAUAGGUCCUGACUACGAUGCACCCGACCAAAAAUUUAUGAGUAGAAACGCUUAUGGUCAACUUCAGUCAUUUGACGUUUCCCAUGAACGGAAAUAUGUUCGGAACGCCUAUGGUGGUGUCAGUGCUGUUAGAGUCACAGAAUUCUCAGAUCCAGACAUUUAUCACAGACCAGGUAAGGUUAUCGCUUAGGCAUU